UCCUACGGGAGGCAGCAGUGAGGAAUAUUGGUCAAUGGGCGCAAGCCUGAACCAGCCAUGCCGCGUGCAGGAUGACGGUCCUAUGGAUUGUAAACUGCUUUUGUACAGGAAGAAACACCCCGACGUGUCGGGACUUGACGGUACUGUAAGAAUAAGGAUCGGCUAACUCCGUGCCAGCAGCCGCGGUAAUACGGAGGAUCCAAGCGUUAUCCGGAAUCAUUGGGUUUAAAGGGUCCGUAGGCGGCUUAAUAAGUCAGUGGUGAAAUCCCUACGCUUAACGUAGGAACGGCCAUUGAUACUGUUAGGCUUGAAUUAUUAGGAAGUAACUAGAAUAUGUAGUGUAGCGGUGAAAUGCUUAGAGAUUACAUGGAAUACCAAUUGCGAAGGCAGGUUACUACUAAUGGAUUGACGCUGAUGGACGAAAGGCGUGGGUAGCGAACAUGGAUUAGAUACCCUGGUAGUCCACGCCGUAAACGAUGGAUACUAGCUGUGGAAGCAAUUUCAGGGGUAAGCGAAAGAAAUAAG
rnacentral:rRNA from 1 species